rnacentral:rRNA from 1 species
UACGUAGGGUGCAAGCGUUGUCCGGAAUUAUUGGGCGUAAAGCGCACGUAGGCGGCUUUGUAAGUUAGAGGUGAAAGCCCGGGGCUCAACUCCGGAAUUGCCUUUAAGACUGCAUCGCUCGAAUUGUGGAGAGGUAAGUGGAAUUCCGAGUGUAGAGGUGAAAUUCGUAGAUAUUCGGAAGAACACCAGUGGCGAAGGCGACUUACUGGACACAUAUUGACGCUGAGGUGCGAAAGCGUGGGGAGCAAACAGG